GCCACUGAAGACUGGUAGCAUCUUGCCAAGGGACAAUUGCAGAGCAAGCUCUCAAAAGAUGGCGGAAAGCUGGUCUUUCUUGGAUACUUUUGAGACUGACUUCAGGCCUUUGGUAGUAAUUGAGCUUGCAAAAGGCACCAAAGAGGAAACCAUAGAAUGGCUCACUAAACGAAUUGCGGACAAAAAAACAAGUGGAGGUGCACAACUGAUGGUUAAACCAUUGGUUACGGAAAAUGGAAAUCAAAGUAUUUAUCUCAUUGGGGCUUCCCAUUUAAGGCUGUUGCUGGGAGCUGAAACUGUGGGUUUGGUGAAGGAAUGUCAUGAUAACUCAAUGAGAACUUUUACAUACAGCAGUAGAAAAACUUUCAAAGAUUUUGCAGAUGACAAUCACAAUUUCCUUACAAUGGCAGAAUGUCAGUAUAUCAUCAAACAUGAACUUGAAAAUUUGAGAGCUAAAGAUGAAAAAAUGAUUCCUGGAUAUCCUCAGGCAAAGCUGUAUCCUGGAAAAUCAAUUGUGAGAAGAUUAUUGACCAGUGGUAUUCUAAUUCAGAUUUUCCCACUGCAUGAUAGAGAAGAGUUGAAAAAGCUCUGUCACAGCUGGUAUGGCCGAGUCAAAGUUGGCUAUCAACCUUUAGAUGAGAUACGCUGCUACUUUGGCGAAACCAUUGCUCUUUACUUUGGCUUCUUAGAGUACUUCACAUUUGCUUUAAUUCCCAUGGCUGUCAUUGGGAUUCCUUAUUAUGUGUUUGCAUGGGAAGACUAUGACAAAUACGUGAUGUUUGCCACAUUCAACCUGCUCUGGUCCACUGUGAUACUGGAAGUUUGGAAGCGGAUUUGCGCCAUCAUGACAUACCGUUGGGGGACACUGUUGAUGAAACGACAGUUUGAAGAACCAAGACCGGGCUUCCAUGGUGUCCUGGGUAUCAAUCCCAUUACUGGGAGGGAGGAACCAGUAUACUCAAGUAUUAAGAGACAAAUACGGAUUUAUCUGGUGUCCUUACCAUUUGUGUGCCUUUGCCUCUACUUCUCACUGUACGUGAUGAUGAUUUACUUUGACUUGGAAAAGUGGGCUCUGGAUUAUCAUGAAGAGAAUGAGUCUACUUUUAGCAGCUUGAUGCUGUUUGUGCCCAGUAUCAUAUAUGCUGUUGUGAUUGAAAUUAUGAACCGUAUCUAUCGGUAUGCUGCUGAAUUCUUAACAUCAUGGGAAAAUCACAGGCUGGAAUCUUCAUAUCAGAAUCAUUUAAUUCUGAAAGUUUUAGUGUUCAACUUCUUAAAUUGUUUUGCAUCUCUCUUCUACAUCGCCUUUGUGCUGUUUGAUAUGAAGCUUUUGAGGCAGAGCUUGGCCACUUUGCUGAUAACUUCGCAGAUCCUUAAUCAGUUUGCAGAAUCUUUGCUUCCUUACUGGCUCCAAAAGAGACAUAAGAAGAGGAUGAAGAAACACGUGUGUUCUCUGAAAACAGAUAUGGACCUGCCAUUAGUCGAACAAGUCAACUUGGAGAAAGAAAUGGGCACCUAUUUUGGUACUUUUGAUGAUUACCUGGAGUUGUUCUUACAGUUUGGCUAUGUGAGUCUUUUCUCAUGUGUUUAUCCUCUGGCAGCUAUCUUUGCAGUGUUAAACAACAUCACAGAGAUAUAUUCUGAUGCCUUAAAGAUGUGUAGAGUUUACAAGCGGCCAUUUGCAGAACCCACAGCAAAUAUUGGUGUUUGGCAGUUGGCUUUUGAAACUAUGAGUGUAAUAUCAGUAGUCACUAACUGCAUACUGAUUGGAAUGUCUCCUCAAGUGAAUGCCCUUUUUCCAGACUCAAAAACGGACCUUAUUCUGACUGUGGCAUUGGUAGAGCACUUGGUACUAGCAAUGAAGUUUAUCAUGGCGUUUGUAAUUCCGGAUAAACCAAGAGAUAUCCAGAUGAAACUAGCCAAAUUGGAAUUUGAAUCUCUAGAGGCUCUCAAACAACAGCAAAUGAAGCUGGCGGCUGAGUCGCUGAAGGAGUAAACACGGAGGAAGGAGGAUGACUAAAGCAGUCACAUGCGAACGCGGGCGCUUCUGGAGCAUUUGUUUAUGAAGACGUGUGGCGCUCAGAGCGUGCACUCCACCAUCUCUUCAGUAGGUGGCACCUGCUUAUAUGCUACUCGUAACAGGACCAAAAUCUACACUGUUUGCUCCUGUGACCUUGAGACAGUUUAUUUUCUCCUGCUGUGACCUUCAUCUCUGGUAGAUGUAACUUACCUGUAUGUGGUACUUGCUGGAAUUCUGGUUGGAAAAAUCUGCUGUUACAAUAAUUAAGGCACGUUGUGAGCCACAGGUCUAAUUGUGUGGACCGGGGGGACUUGCUGACUCAAGAUCUCUGCUGUAUGUGCCAGACUGCAGCACCUCCCGUGAACUUGAGGCCAGUAGAAGAGGAAAAUGCAGGAAUUGUUACAUGAGGAAAGGUUCCUCUGCAAGCAGGCAAGCAAUCCAGGUAUUUUAGCCUACCUGGGAACGAGGGAAUCAUCCUCGAAUCUCAUGGAGGAAGGUUUGCACCGAUGGUGAGUUUACACCUCUAUUCAGAUCAGCAAA